rnacentral:tRNA from 1 species
GCCGCUGUGGUGGAAUAGGCAGACACAAGGGACUUAAAAUCCCUCGGUAGCGAUAUCGUGCCGGUUCAAGUCCGGCCAGCGGCACCA